GCCACGGCCCAUAGAGGGUGCCAGGCCCGUGCGACUGUUUCGGUUCUCGGGAAGACCUCUCCUCAGAGUCGGGUUGCUUGAAAGUGCAGCCCUAAGUGGGUGGUAAACUCCAUCUAAGGCUAAAUAUUCCCACGAGACCGAUAGAGAACAAGUACCGUGAGGGAAAGUGAAAAGAACUUGAAGAGAGUUCAAGAGUACGGAACCGUUCGGGGUAAACGGAUGGACCUGAACCCCGAAUAGAGAUUCAGGGAAGUCCCCUUGCGGCCAUCUGUUCAGGCUGAUCUUCAACUCUACGGAGUUGGGACUCCUGGGGGGUGUCGUUCCGUGCUGGGGCUCCCGCACUUCUCUCUUUUAGGACGUCGCGACUCGUUGGGUGCCGGUCUACGGCCCGGGGUGGAGCUUGUCUGGGCCUCUGCUGUCCUUACAAACCCUCGGUGUCCCGGCUGGCGCUCGACGGUAGACAAAGUGGAGUUUGCCCGCACUUCGGUGCAUUCAGACAUACGCAAGUGUUGGGAGUGUGUUCAGGUGACGGACCUGGUCCGGCCCUGGCCCUUCCGCACUGUUGGUGUAUGUUUCCUUGAACGGGGCGCCUACUCUCCUGUCAGCGGCGUUACGGUUUGAGUGGUCCAUCCGACCCGUCUUGAAACACGGACCAAGGAGUCUAACAUGUGCGCGAGCCAUUGGGAAUUACUAAACCUAAAGGCGCAAUGAAAGUAAAGGUCUCUGUAUAGAGACUGAGGGAAGAUGGAGGAGCUCCUUGUGGGCUUUUAGUCUCGAAGCUUUCGCUAAGAGGCCCUCCCGCAUUCCCGGGGCGUCUCGUUCUCAUUGCGAGAUGAGGCGCACCUAGAGCGUACACGUUGGGACCCGAAAGAUGGUGAACUAUGCCCGGCCAGGACGAAGCCAGGGGAAACCCUGGUGGAGGUCCGUAGCGAUUCUGACGUGCAAAUCGAUCGUCGGAGCUAGGUAUAGGGGCGAAAGACUAAUCGAACCAUCUAGUAGCUGGUUCCCUCCGAAGUUUCCCUCAGGAUAGCUGGUGCUCAUUUGAACGAUAACGAGUCUCAUCCGGUAAAGCGAAUGAUUAGAGGCCUUGGGGCCGAAACGACCUCAACCUAUUCUCAAACUUUAAAUGGGUGAGAAACUCUGCUUGCUUAACGGUGAAGCAGAGUGUACUCUUUGGAUCGGAGUACCCAGUGGGCCACUUUUGGUAAGCAGAACUGGCGCUGUGGGAUGAACCAAACGCUGGGUUAAGGCGCCUAAAUCGAAGCUUAUUUUGAUCCCAUGAAAGGUGUUGGUUGCUUAAGACAGCAGGACGGUGGCCAUGGAAGUCGGAAUCCGCUAAGGAGUGUGUAACAACUCACCUGCCGAAGCAACUAGCCCUGAAAAUGGAUGGCGCUCAAGCUUCGUGCCUAUACCCGGCCGUCACUGCAGUGGAGGAUGCUUAGCACCGAAUGAAGCAGUGACGAGUAGGAGGGUCGCGGCGGUGAGCGCAGAAGGGUCUGGGCGUGAGCCUGCCUGGAGCCGCCGUCGGUGCAGAUCUUGGUGGUAGUAGCAAAUACUCCAGCGAGGGCCUGGAGGACUGAUGUGGAGAAGGGUUUCGUGUGAACAGCCGUUGCACACGAGUCAGUCGAUCCUAAGCCCUAGGAUAACUCUGAAGUGGAUUGCGGGGACCCCCUCGUUAAAGACCAGCGAAAAGGCAAUUGGGCCAACCGCCUGAUCUAACCUGUUCGGGCUAGCUGGCCGGAGUCUGGCAAUCACCCCAUCCUUUGGGCGAAAGGGAAUCUGGUUCCUAUUCCAGAACCGGGCAGCGGAACCGUAUUUCACGGGCCCUCACAAGGGGUUCGUCAGGGUAACCUAACAGGACCCGGAGACGCCGUCGGGAGCUCUGGGAAGAGUUUUCUUUUCUGUAUGAGCGUUCGAGUUCCCUGGAAUCAUCUCGCAUGGAGAUAGGGAAAGGAACGCGAAGAGCACCGCAGUUGCAGCGGUGUCCAGAGAGUCCCGUCGGACCUUGA
rnacentral:rRNA from 1 species